AGGAAUCUGCCUGGUAGUGGGGGACAACGUUUCGAAAGGAACGCUAAUACCGCAUACGUCCUACGGGAGAAAGCAGGGGACCUUCGGGCCUUGCGCUAUCAGAUGAGCCUAGGUCGGAUUAGCUAGUUGGUGGGGUAAUGGCUCACCAAGGCGACGAUCCGUAACUGGUCUGAGAGGAUGAUCAGUCACACUGGAACUGAGACACGGUCCAGACUCCUACGGGAGGCAGCAGUGGGGAAUAUUGGACAAUGGGCGAAAGCCUGAUCCAGCCAUGCCGCGUGUGUGAAGAAGGUCUUCGGAUUGUAAAGCACUUUAAGUUGGGAGGAAGGGCAUUAACCUAAUACGUUAGUGUUUUGACAUUACCGACAGAAUAAGCACCGGCUAACUCUGUGCCAGCAGCCGCGGUAAUACAGAGGGUGCAAGCGUUAAUCGGAAUUACUGGGCGUAAAGCGCGCGUAGGUGGUUUGUUAAGUUGGAUGUGAAAGCCCCGGGCUCAACCUGGGAACUGCAUCCAAAACUGGCAAGCUAGAGUACGGUAGAGGGUGGUGGAAUUUCCUGU
rnacentral:rRNA from 1 species